AACGAACGCUGGCGGCAUGCCUAACACAUGCAAGUCGAACGAGACCUUCGGGUCUAGUGGCGCACGGGUGCGUAACGCGUGGGAACCUGCCCUUAGGUUCGGAAUAACUCCCCGAAAGGGGUGCUAAUACCGGAUAAUGUCUUCGGACCAAAGAUUGAUCGCCUUUGGAUGGGCCCGCGUUGGAUUAGCUAGUUGGUAGGGUAAAAGCCUACCACGGCGACGAUCCAUAGCUGGUCUGAGAGGAUGAUCAGCCACACUGGGAGUGAGACACGGCCCAGACUCCUACGGGAGGCAGCAGUGGGGAAUAUUGGACAAUGGGCUGAAGGCUGAUCCAGCAAUGCCGCGUGAGUGAUGAAGGCCUUAAGGUUGUAAAGCUCUUUUACCCGGGAUGAUAAUGACAGUACCGGGAGAAUAAGCACCGGCUAACUCCGUG
rnacentral:rRNA from 1 species